UAUUGACAUUCACUAUGACGAUGAAUGUGUUUACAGUACUGAAGGAGUAGGAUGGUGUUAUGGCCAUUACAAAUUCGUUCUUUACUGUUACUGUCAUGGACAACCUAAACUUAAUGCGAGACGAUGAAUACAGAUUUGGUUUUAGAAGAUUGCAGACCUUUACAAAGUUGAGAAUGUCAUGGUAUUUGAAUUUCAAAAUAAAUUAGGUUUAACCACUUUUAUUUCUCUUUCUUACUUUGGAUAAUUGAAGAAAGCUUGUUUCAGAAAAUAUGUUUAAGCAAAUAAAAUACAGUCAAGAAAUAAAUAACACAGGUUUCAUUAAAGAAACAAAGGGAACAAGUAUGAAUCCCGUUUUAUAAAAGAUAGUCACAAUUUUCGCUAUACAAAUGAAGACAGUCAGGAACCAAUUCCAAAAGAUAAGGAUCCCUGCAUAGCACCAGUAUGCAAAUUAUAAAGACGGAACAAAAUAUUGAACUGAAUUUGUUAAAUGGAUUAGAAAUUUCUGAAAUUUAAAUAGUUUUUUCAUGUUGUUUAUAAUUAUCUUUAUCAAAAAAUUAUGUAUACAUAUAUAGGAUACAUAUGGGCUUGGACAAAGGUUUUGACAAAUUCCAAAUUAAAAUGGAACAUAAACAAAUAAGGAGAGUGUUGUUUCAUUGAGAUGGAAUUAUAAUGUUUCAUUCCCUAAUUAGUAUCAUAGAUCUGCUAUAACUAAAAAUUGUGGUUGACAAAAAUUGGAAUAUAAGAAUGAAAACAGAUAGGGAAAAGUUAUUUUUUCCUUUUUAUUUGGUAAUAGAUCAACAGGACGAUGAUAAAGUAUGCGGUGGUAUUCAAUACUCAUAUUUUCUGAAGUCAUUAGCACACUCACGUAUUGCUGAAAGCUAAUACCUUCUAAGUAUUGCAUAACAAUACUUGUAUAUAUUAGAUUAUCAAAUGAAAUGAAGAACUGGGAAGGAAUUCGAAACCAAAACAUGUAUCUUAUUAGUAAACUUUGACAAUAAUUCCCUAUUUUCCAUUGGACAAAAAUACGGUUAUCUACAAUGCAUUGCGCAUGCCUGAAUACAUCUGCGUCUUUUAAAAGAUUACUACAAUAAUUUCAAUUAGAACAAUACAAGAUGGGAAACGAACACAGCAAUUUAACAGAAAAAUCAAUCCUCUCACCACAAACUAUGGAUGAAGAAAUUCAUCACGAUCCUAAUUGUAAAUGUAAACGCCGAAGAUUGCAACACAAGGGAAAAUAUUACUAUGUGUAUUACAGAAAAUGUGUAUGUAAACAAUUUCACGAUAGAUCAGAUUGUUUCCAGAAGAAUCUGCAAGAUUCCGAUCUACCAAAUGGCAAUAUAAACAAAGAUGGAGUCGAUAUUCACGAGAACGCAGACUGUAACUACACGUACGCUAAGCGGCAGGGAGACAAGACACAGUUUCGUUUACAUUGUACCUGCAAAACUGUAAGCAGCAGAAAUAUGACACGCUGAAAUAGAGCCGGAAAAUAUAUGUACUACAAAAAGACAGGGAAAUGUGUUCCUAUUCUAAUGAAUAAAAUGAAUGUUAAAAAGACUCAAUGUUUUUUUCUUACUCUCUAACGUGGAAGGCGCCUACGUUAUCUGUUCUACAUUAAACAGGGUCAUGCUUUUAACCAACUUUAUCAGCUUGUAGUGAUUAACUAAAGAUCUUGCUUUGACUUGGCAGUUGAGCGUAUUCAAUAUUUAACGAAGAUGAAAAUUAAAAUCUAGUACAAUUACAAUUUAUUUACCUUUGAAAAAAUCAUGGAAAAUUUUUAAGUAUAGACUAAUUAAUCUUUUCAUAAUAUUCAAUGAGGUUUAGCCUUGCCGAGUUCCUUUGAAUGCUCUAGAAAGCAAGCAUGUGCAAUGCUAUACACUAUAUUAUACUCCCUAUAUAAGAGUAUCAGUCACUUUAUGUAAAAUACAAUAUCAUUUAACCCAUUCAAUUGAAGUAUGUCGGCCGACCAAAGCAAUUACUCACGUGAUGAAGUAGAUAGUGCUAGUAUAACAACAAUGAACGACGAAGAGUACAUGAAAAAAGAUUGUAAAGCAUUAAGGCGUCAGUUGAAACAAAAACAAGCCACUAGCUUUGUUUUUUACCGUUUAUGCUUUUGUGGAAAACACACGGAUAGAUCAAGAGAGUUUUAUGAAAUAGAUGAUGAUGAAGAUAUGCCCGAAUACGCCUCAUUGGAUGGAGUAGAAGUACAUGGUCAUGAAGAAUGCCAGUACACGACUGUAAAACAACUACCCGGACCGAAAUAUAUUUUUAAACUGGAUGAUUACUGCACUAGAUACUCGCAGAAAACAACGACAAGAUAAAUGUUCAUACAGUUCGAAUUUUGGGAAAAUGUUAUCAAAUUCGUUUGAUGAUUUCAAAUAACAACUUUUAAUUUCAUACAUGAACAAGAAAUCAAAUUACUUUAUUAACUAUAUUGACCGGUGUAGAUUAAUAUUUAAAUGUGAGCUGAUGAACCUAUAUGACUAUAGCUACCCGGAUUUGUUUUGAUAUUACAAAUCAUCAGUGAUUUUUUUUUACGAGAAUUGUACAAUACAGUUUUUGAUAAAGAGAGAAACGUUGCUGGACUUUCCUUUCUUCAUUGUGAAUCAUUGAAAUUACUAUAUAUCGAAACAACAGUUUUUGGGUCCAUGAAAAUUCGAAUUUUAAAAUGUAAAAGAAAAUUGAAUUAUGUUCACUUCCAAAAUAAAUCACGUGCCAUAUACCAUUUCCGGCAAUGAAGGUAAUUUGGAGACCAUGACAUAAAGAGUGAACCAUAUUUCGGUAAAUAUGUUUUUGAAAAAUGUAUGUCUUUCUGAAUACACAGAGGGUAAUUUUGGCCCAAAAGGUUUACAUCCUUGACGUAGAGUGCCAAAAGCUUCAACGUUGAAUGCAUAGGUUUUGAAACCGUUCGAAAGAGGAAAUGAUAUUUUUUUUCUAAUUUGCCCAGCAGCAUGUAUUUGUGUUUAAAAAAAAUUAAAUAAUCGCAUAACAUAUACAGUGAUUUCGAUUCACUGACAAUUUGAAUUUCGUAUUAUCAUAAUUGACAAAUAAAAUGUUCCCAAAACUUCCUUUGUAUUUUUAAAGAGAACAUUUCUCUCGUCAGCUAGCUGUGUACACGCAUUUAGAUGUAUACAGAUUUUUAAACAGUUUUGUAUCACAGAGUGCAUUGAAACACUCUAUUGAUUAAAACCUUACGCACAUAGAUAAUUUCUCAUGUGUACAGAGGUUAUCAGUAGAGUGUGAUUUUCCCAAAUACAUGAACAAAUACAAUGUGAAAAAAAAGAAGAUUUAUAUAAGUAACGUCGUCAUUACAUUUUUAUACAUAUUCUACAACAUCAGAAAUUACUCAAGUGUUUGUAAAUAUCAAUGUAAAAUUCACAAUGAUGUUCUCUUUGAUGUCCAUUAUUGCGAUUUCUUGAAUAAAAUUAUGACAACAAAAGAAUUUAAUACAAGGAUUCAAUUAUGCACUAUACAGGUCUAGUACAAUGAAUUACUGUCAACACUGCUUAUUAUUUUAAAAUUAGAUUUUACUCUUAACAAUAUACAUCUGCACAUUUAAAAAUCCUAGCGCUCUUGGAAAUAUCCCCGAAGUGGGAUUUAAAGUACAAAUUGUAUAGGUGUAUACUGUUUCGAUUUUAAAAAUAUAUUACAAAUAAUAUCUAUAUUUCUGCUGCUCUCCUUUGAAUGGGUAAAACUGAACAACGAAUUGUAGGUUAGCAAACAUACGGUAAGAAACACAAAUGAAUCCCAAAAUAAAUGCUGGAAUUUUGUGAGUUUAUUUUAGACAGUGGCUACGCUAAAAAUAGCGUGGGAAUUUGUGAGUACAUUAAUUGAAGACAAUAUGACUUUUCUCUAAGCCAAUCAAAUGCACGAAGAACAAUCUAGAAUGCACUGUAAUCCGUUUGCGCAAGGCAAAUUACGUCAUAUUUACCCAUUAAAAUGGCAUCCCAUAUGAUAAAUACUCCUUUCAAAGGUAUUAAUACUUAAAACUAUCUUCAAAAUCUGACCAUAGAAGACGCAGAGAUCACAUACCACUCGCUGACCACCGUGCACUAUGAAUAACGAUACUAGUAAUAUUUCGGACGAAGUUUUCUUUAGCUCACUGAGCAAACGAAUGCAAGGCGAAAUUCAUUUCGAUGAUGAAUGCAAAGUCAUUACACGAUAUGGUGAACUUAAUGAACACGGAAGAAUAGUAGUAGUGUUCAUCCGGAAAUGCAAAUGUGGCAAAUAUCCAAAUAAAGAAACUUUGAUAUUCGGAACUGAGGAGAGAUUAAUUCUACCCAAAGACGGAGUGGACGUACAUAAAGAUGAAUCAUGUGAAUACGUUCCCGAGAAGUAUUUUGACAAAUCAAUACACAGACAUGUUUACCGGUUUCAGUUGACAUGUUAUUGUGCCUCUAGAUCAAAGCAAAAAAGGAUUUUAGAGUACAACUAAAAAAGAAAAGAAGCAUUCAACUAGAAACACCUUGAACACAAUAGGACCUGCUAAAUGAGAUAGUAGGAAGUCAGACCAAGUUGAAUAUUGAUUGUAUAUCGGAUAAACGUAAAAGGACAUUGCAGGAUAAUUGAGACGAAUUACAUUUCUCUGUAGUGAACAAUCAUCAUGCUGCAACAUAACAGGAAGAAAAAGAAAAAAGUAUUUUGAUAUCCGUCAACAAAAGACUGUGUUAUAUACCAAAUCAUAAUGAGCCAAAUAAAUGUUACAAAGAGUGAUAUAUUGUUUAAUUAAGGUAAACAUCAUGCCUUAUGCAAACUUAUGUAUUCUGUACAUGUAUUUAUGUAGAAAGUGGAUGCAUUCGUUUUUCUAAAUCCUAUUUGAAAGUUUUACAUGCAUAUACUAGUAAUCAUUUCUUUUGUCAUGUGAUCUUACUUUUUUGUAGAUGCUUUGAAUGUUUAUGAUAUACAUAUUAUUGAAAUUAUAUUUGAUAGAAUGAGGAACUCAGUAUUAGGUUUCCUUCAUCUUUUUUUAAAAAUAUCAAUUACCAUUGGACCAUAUACUCUAUUUCAAUAGUAUAUUGCAAAUUGUUACAAUACAUAAGCAUGGUAUAUUAGAAUGAAUUGCAUUUUCACUUGAUAUAAUAUUUUUUGUAUAUUGUAUCAGUCUUCUCUUUUUCAUAACCAUAUUAUUAAUGGAUAUUUAUGAUGCGCCCAAAUUGUUUGUUUCCCGUUUCAUGACAUUUUGAAUUCUUAAUAAAGGACACCCCUAUCAUUUAUAUUGCUUUAUUCUUAUUGAUAUAAGAUGUGUCCAAGUCGGAGUUGAAGUAACAAUUGCAGAAAAUGUUUUGGAAAAACUUCAAACAUUGAAAUGCAUGUAACAAACUUGAAUUUUCUAGAAGAAGAAAUUAUAGAUCAUUUGGCACCACUCCACUACAGUUAAAAGAUAAAAAAAACUUAUUUUUAGUAUUUUCUUUUCAAACCAACAUUCUCUAGACAGGAUAUUGAUAUUUUGCAUUUAAUGUACAGUUAAGUUCAAAUGUAUUUUGAUGAAAUAAAUUAUGUACCUGAACAUGAAAUAUUUAACAGAAAGUCACCACUAUCACUACCGUCAUGUGAUUUUAAAUCCUAUCGCAAGAUGGAAUAAAGCGCUCGAUAGAACAAUAUAAAUAACAAUGAGCUAACAUCCGUAAAGGUUCUGCUGUAUUUUCAAAAGAACAAAGAAUCAUUAAAUGGUUUGGGGUUUAACUCACUAAAUGAAUAGUCUAGAACUUAAAAGUAACAAGAAGUAGAGAGUAGUUACUUAAUUUCCAAUUCAUGGAAAGAAUUAUGGAAGUCACGCAAAUAACUGCGCAUGCGUAUUCUUUGUAAGCUAUACUAUAAAACGGAUGAACAUAAAGCAAUUGUGGUUGUUGUUUGUCAUCAUUGCCUUAGCAUCAACAGUAAAAAAAAAUAUUAGCAUGUCUGUUGAUGUUGUCAAGAUUCUAGACGAUUCUCGAAUACUUGUAGAAAACGUGCAUUACGAUGAGAGAUGCAAAAUAAAGGAACUUAUAUUGACAUUAGAUAAUGGGGAAGAGAGUAAGGUAUUUUAUGAAAUAUGCAAAUGUCCAAGACGUUUACCGAAUAGAUCAUCGGAAUACAAUGAAGCCGUAAGAGAGGGAGUGUUCCCGGAGCAUCACAAGUCAAUACGUGGAAUAGAAAAACAUGGGCUUCAUUGUACAUCACGAGUCAGAAUUAAUAUGGAAAUGGGAACUAGAGUGUUUAUAUCAAGAAAAGUGUGUUCAUGUGGAAACGCGGUGGGAAACUUCAGUAGAUGAAGUGGAAAAUACUACUAUUAUUUUGAACACUCUGAAAUACAUUCAUUCAUUUCUAGUGUUAUACAUCAAAAGGAUAUAUUUCAUCUAUCGAAAUGGACAAUGUAAGGAUUUAAUUGACAGUUGUACGAGUAUGUACGUAUGUUUGCAUUAUAGACCAACUUUAAAUGUAUAUGUGGAUUUGAAGUUUAGUAAACGUUACUAAUUUUCUUUUAUUCUUAAUGUUAUUUUUGGUGUGUUUUAAAAGAUCGAAUUUACAAGCAACCCACUGCAUGAGGGAAGUGUUCUUUACUUAGAUAACAUAUGAUACCUAUAAUCUAUAUUAAUUGGAAAUACUCCAAAUGUCAAGUCCAGACAUACACAUUUUUUUUUACAAACAUUGCGCUUCAACAAAGGCUAUACACAUUUACCGUGAAUGCGUGCGUUUAAUUCCAAAAUAUUUCACCUAGAUUACAACAGGUAGAUCAUUUUCCUUCCUCUAAAGUAUUUUGACGACUUCUUGAAAUAAGUCAUACGUAAUAAGUCUCACUCGUCACGGUACACUAUCUUUAAGGAAACUCGUUGAAAAUAAUUCAUGAUGGGACCCGUGCCUCGAUUGUGGAUUUUGAAUAUAUAUAAUUAGAAAUACGUGAACAAUCUAUAGAUUAAAAUAUGAUACCUCCAUACUCUGGGAAUUUUGCACACGUCACUGUUGUGAGUGAGGUUAUGUCUAUUUUAAGAAAAGAAAAUUAUAUAAUAAAUGAUAAUGCUAUAUAAGUUUUGUUACAUCAUACUUAUUCUUGAAAUGAUUGCAAGUUAUAAAAAGCCUUGGGAAAGUCUACCUAAGUAGUAUAAAAGACAAACUGAUAGGAAUAUUGUAUCAUUGUUUCAACUAUCAAAAUGAGCUGGAACGAUAUCACAGAACAAGACUUGGUAGAGGGAAGUGAAGGAGUUGAGGGAGAAGAGCACUAUAGCCCAGAAUGUCAACCAUUGAUGGAAAAUGGAAUUUAUAGAAAAGGUUCCAGAGCUAUUGGCAACAUCACUGUCUACUUCAGAAAUUGUAAUUGUGAAAAGUAUGAUAGAGCAGAGUGUAAAAGAGUUAUUCAACAAUUUCGUACAUCGAGUAUACCUUUACCUACCCAUGGUGUAGAUAUUCACAGAGACAGUCAAUGUUCCUAUGCUAUCCCACGAGAAAGACUAAUUUGGAAAGACAACAAACAACGGACGGUUUACAUUUUCCCUCUCCACUGUGUAUGCAAAACACGACCAAGAACAUCAAUGGUCUAUCGUUAAACACAGUAGGUUUGGAUAAAAGGAACGUGUUUAAAGAAGAAUAAAGAAGAGAUUAAAUAAUAUCAGAUAGGUUUGCCACCAUUCGGACUUUCCAUUUCAUGGACAAAAGAACAUGAGUCGUGUAGAAUUCUCUCAGCAACACCACCACCACCACCACCGCCAACAACAACAACAACAACAACAAUGUUCCCCCAAUUGUCAAAAGUGUUUAAAAUCAUAACUGUAGUAAAAUGUGGUUGCAUUUCUUCGUGCAGGUUGUAUAUUUAUAUUUGUGUACAAAUCAUUAGCAUUUAUGCUGAACUUGUUUCAUACUUACAUAUCAUUCAUUUGAAAAUCAAUUACCCAGUGUAAUGUUGCACAUUGAAUUCAUUGGUGUUUGAAUAAAGUAUAUGUCGUGAUGGAAUUGUCGUAAAUAUAUUUGAGCAGUGCUUAGCGUCUUUAAACAAGAAAGAUUCUCUUCAUAUAUCAGGUCACAUGGCAGUAAUUCGGGUUAAUCUAACUUUAACGGUAUCUGAACAUUUCAGUUAUAAUUUAAGGUAAAUAUAUUAAAGUAAGGUUUACAAAGGGAUAUAUCUACAAAAUAAGGCGUGAAUAGUUUUUUCUUAACUAAAUAUGUUAUAGCUAGGUCACUUACUGUUUUUCCUUUCUUUUUAAACUAGUUUUUAUAGUAUGAAAUGUGAGGAUAACGAACGGUGGUCAAUUUAUUAAUCACAUGAAGAAUACAAAAUUUAGAGGAGAACAAGCACGGAUCCUAGGAACACAAAAAGCCCACGUGAUACAUAUUGACUAAAAGGUGUAGUAUCAACAAACAGUGAUCAAUCUCAUAACUCCUAUAAGGAAUACAAAAUAGAGAGUUGGCAAACACGAAUUCCGUGAUGUACCAGAAGUGGGAUGAGGUGCAAAGAGGAAUAAGCAUCCCCUGUCGACCCAUCACACACACCAUAAACCUUAUAUAUUGAUCAGGUAAAGGAGUAAUCGAUAGUCAGAAUUAGAGUGCCGAGAACGAUUGGUAUAAAACACGUCAUACAGCAUUUGAUCCGAUGAUAAGUUGUAUUGAAAAACUAGAUAGUUAUAAUGAUCAUAGAUUUGGCAAAAUGCUGACAUCAAACGAGACUGAUGAAACCCCUGUAUCUUCAACUUGUUUGUCAGUAGCCUGCUUCUAUCUAAAAAUUCAUUAUACGCAGAACAAGCUCUUGUGUAUUGAAUCAGUUGAAAUAUAUACACACCAUUUGCAGGUGAUAAUGGAAUAUUGCUACAUAAAUAUUGGAAAUUAACGACGGAGAAGCUGAAAUCAUCCAGUUUGUCAUAAAGUUGAGUUGUUAGUUUGCUGUUAAUAUGUUCAACAUCAUCUCUCUUAGACUUGGCUUAAAGUAUUUGCUUCAAUGUUCCCCCAAAUGAAAUAUAAAUUAUGUUCAAAUGAUUGGUCAAGAGGAUGAAAAAACAACAUUUUAAUAUAAGUGCGCUUAAUGAUGGAAAUUUUGCAAUAUUACAAUGUGUUCAGAAUAUGAAAACAUUGCACAUAUAUAGGACAAUCUCACCAUCACGUUGGACUUUGAUGUGUCUUGUUAACUAAAGAGCACUGGGUAUCGCAUAUGCAUUAGAGGAGACUGUAUUUAGUGUAAUUCAUUUGUUUGCUAGACUUCGUUACUCAAACUACUGAUAUCAAUGAAUGAAAAGUAAAUUCUCCUCAUACAAAGUUCACCUUAAAUGUGAACUUGUCCUCCUUGAUUAAAGGGGCAUAGACACGAUUUUUGAUCGAUUGAAAUUGAUCGCCUUUUGUUAUAGAAAUUAAAAUCUAUCAUAAAAAAGUGGAUUGAAAUAUUUUUAAGCAAGAUACACAUUGUUUACAUAAAAACUGGCUCACAAAAUCGUGCUUGUAAACAUGAGUGAGACAAAUGCAUGCGAGAGAAAUUUCAUAGGACUGUAAAUUUGACCGGAAGUGAUAAAAUCAAGAUUUUAAAACGUAUGUCAAAAGCAUUCAACAAUUCGACAUGGGUUAAUAUCAAUUUGUGUGCAUGUACCUAAAAUUGAGGUAAAUGCUUCGUUCUAAAAACAAUUUCACCACAAUAAUUAACUUUGACGCCAUGUUGAUAGUUGAGUCACUUAAUAUGUAAAUAUAGAUAUAAAGAAGGCUCGUGUCUUCUUCUUUUUUAAAAAUGCAAAAGUUUAGAUGAAAAGGUUACGACACAAACAGUGAUCAAUCUCAGAACUCUCAUAGAGGAUAUAAAUUUGAGGAGCGCAACCACGCACCCUUGGACAUUCUAGAGAUGGGAUCAGGUGCCUAGGAGGAGUAAUCAUCCCUUGUUAUCCUCUGUUAACCGGUCACACCCGCCGUGAGCUCUAUAUCUUGAUUAGGUAAACGGAGUAAUCCGUAGUCAAAAUCAGAGGGCAAAGAAUAGACUGAAUUGGCAUGAAACAUGUCAGACAGUAUUUUAAGUAAUGUUGGUGAAUCAUAUCGUUUUAACAACCAUAAAAUUUGCGAAAUUCUGACGUUAAACGAGACGGUUGAAACCACAGUAACAUCAACUUAUUUAUCAGUACCUUGCAUGGAUUUAAAAACUGACCAUACUAAGAACAAGCUAUUUCGUAUCAAAUCAGUUGACAGACAUAAACACCAUAUGCAGGUGUCCUAAUAUUCUAUGAAAGCCUAAUCUGGUACCCGUCCACAAAACAGAAUGACGGGUAUAUGGACCAGAUUAAUGAAAACCGCUAUUGGAUAUUGCUACAUAAAUAUGGUAUUUGACGCCAGAGAAACUGAAAUCAUUAUGCUUGUCAUAACGUUGAGUCUCAAAUACAUCUUUUAGAAAUUAAAGUUUGUUGCUAUGUGCUACACGUUUAAAAAACUAUAAGUUUUUUUUAAUCAAUUGAUUAUCUAAAAAUAUGCCAAAACCGUGUCCAUGACCCUUUAAGUUGUCGGAAAAGUCAAGUUAUUGAUAUUUAUGAUGACAUGUUGACAAAGGUAGGACAGAUUAAAAGCAAUUCCAGAAAUAGACAACGGAAUUUGUAGUCUAUUUAAAACAAUCAGAAAUAUCACUGGGAUUUUAUGAAUAUACCGACUGUAUUUUUGGAAAUCUAUACAAGGUGUCUAGCCAAUCAAACUCUAUAUUGCAUUCAAGGUUGUCUGCACAAUAACAAGUUCAUCAUCGUAUUUUAAUAGAUUGUUUUAUGAAAUACAGAUGGACUGUUAUAAACGUUAUAAACUUGUGUCUUAUAUUCCAUGUUUUGAAACUUGUGAAAAUAUUCUAAACCUGAUUGAUAGAAUAUACCCACUCUCAAUUUUAAUCAUUGAAUGUUGUUCAUUUUCUUUAUCUAUACACUAUUUUACGUGUUUGAGCAUACCAAGCACAACCCAAAUAUCAUAGAAAAUAUUGCAUAUAGUAUAUAAAAAAUAUAUCUUGGGGACAAAAUACUUUAGUAACUAUCCAUUACUUAAAAACUGUGAAAUGAUAUCAACGCACCACAUAUAGAUCGACCAAAAGAUCAACCUACUUUUCUCCUUCCAAAUCAGCAGUAGGUUAUCCAAUCAAAUUGAAGGAUAUUCACCAUAUGAUAGUUUGCAUUGAGUAUUUAACCAUGAAGUAAAUCCUGAUAUGAAAUAUUUGACAGACUACACUGCCUUCAUGUAAAUUUAAUUCCUAUCACACGAUGAUUUUUACUUCAAUACAUUGAAAAAUCAAAGUACAAGCAUGUUAUAUCAAAAUACUUUUAAGAAAGCAAUACACAAUCAUGCUUUACUCUGUUUAUUCAUGCCCGAGAGAACAAGAUGAAAGGUGAAGAUAACGAACAGUGAUCAAUCUCAUAACUCCUACAAGUAUGUGUCAAAAUCCGUAAAUUCUUUGCUGUACUUUCAAACUAACAAAGGCUUCUUGGACGUCACUAUAUCAAAUGUUUAGAAUUCUAACUCACCAAAUGAAUAGUUUAAAACUUAAAGCAGCAAAAAGUACAAAGUAUUUCCUUAUUUUUCAAUUUAUGUAAACUCCUGGAAGUCAAACAAACAACUGAAUACUGUGUAUGCGUAUUCUACACAAGCUAUGCUAUAAAGCUAGUGAACAUGAAACAAUUGCGGUCGGUUUUUGUUGGGUUUUUUUUGCCAUCUCAGAGUAGCAUCAACAAUAAGAUUUGAACAUGUCUUUUGACUUUGGCGAUCAUCUAACAGACGCUGGGGAACCUGUAGUACUUGAGGAAGAGCAUUACGAUGGGAAAUGCCGAAUAAAAGAAUUAAUACUGAAAGUAUCAGGGGGUGAGAAGUUGCGAGUAUUUUUCGAAAUAUGCAAAUGUCGAAGAUGUUUACCGAAUAGAUCGUUGGAAAUACAAAGAAGGCUAGAGACGAGAAGUGUUACCAGAACAUCACAAGUCACUGCCUGGAAUAAAGAUACACGGACGGUAUUGUAAUUUUCAAGUCAGUCCGGAAUUCCAAAGAGGAAUUAAAGUGUUUAGAUUAAGGAAAGAGUAACAUGACUUGGUAGAAGGGAGUAAAGGAGUUGAAGAGGAUGAGCACGAUAGCCCACGAUGUCAACCAUUAGUGGAAAAUGGAAUUUAUAGAAAGGCUUCAGAGCUAUUAGCAAGGUCAUUGCCUGCUUCAGAAAUUGUUAUUGUGAAGAGUAUAGUAGAGAAGAGUGUGAUAGAGUUCUACAACAAUUCGUACAUCGGGAAUAUCUGUGCCUACCGAUGGUGUAAAUAUUCAUGGAGACAGUGGAUGUAAAUAUUAUGAUCCACUACCAGAAUUUAUUUUCCGAGACAACAAACAAAUGACAGUUUAUAUUUUCCCUCUCCACUGUAAAUGCAUAAAAC